UACUUUGUUGCUCCACUGUGCGAUGACUGAAGUUUGCACAAGCUUUUUAUUAUUUAAAACAAUUGCCAGCAUAGGUGCUUAAUAUAUAAAAUCACACAGUUACAAGUCAACACAGAUGGAACUGUUGAAAAAGAGUGCUAAAACUACGCAUGGACACGCAAAAUGCCCAAGGAUAACGAGGCAAGGGAGAAUAAUCCGUGUCAAUAACAAUGGCUUCGUACACAAUAGCAUCCCCUUAAUAACGCGUGUGUGUCGCAAAACAAGGACGAAGAUGUAAACAUAUCUGUCAACUUGACUGCAACAGAUUCUUUUCCUGCUACCAAAUUGAAAUCUAAACACAAAGUUUUGGGGAACAAGCCUUGCCUGCACUUUGUCGCUCGAUGGUGUAUCACCGGUCUGAAGCGUAAUGAAAUGUUAAGCCAAAAGUCUGAAACAAAGACGAAAUCAAAAAGCCUACUUGGCGGCUGCCUUCGUUCCUCCACAUUAGUUCCUUUACUCGGCAAGGAACCAAAUCCACUGAUUCCCCUUUCCGUAUUCACACCUGUACAGCUAGGACCAACGCCGUUUCCGCGGCUGCCUCCCGAAUCUUUCUACUCAGUAUUUUUUCAUACCCCAGAGAUUCGGUGAACCUUGCUCACUUCUGCACGUUAUUUUUCUGUCGUCUGCCUCCUUCCUUUUUCUUUUCUCCUCCAAACGUCAAAUCAAAUCCAAAAUUGCGUCAGAUUAUGACGUUAGAUUUUGACGCAGCAACCCCCUCCUCCCCUCGCUCACGCACGGGUAAGGGCGAUAAUGCCUGCCUAACAACAGACAGGGGCAACAACCCCCUGUUCCCAACAUUCAUGCAAGCAUGAACGUGCCUUAAAUGUGUGGAUAGUGUUUGUGAUUGUGCAGGGGGAAAAUGGUUGUACAUAGGGGAGUAUGUAGUGUUGCAUGCAAUUGCUGGUGACAGAGAACUUAUUGAUACCCACCAUCAUUACAACAUGUUCCUCAUUUAUCUUACCUUAUCUAUCCAUUAAUUUAUUGCUGAGAAACUACUAAAAUUUCAAGUCAGAAGUGAUUGGCAGCAACAGUCAUUGCCAAAGAAUAGGGUAGGUGACAUGAGCUCAAUAUGCAGUUAGUCAUCUGCACUUUAUGCUCAGCCAUUGAGCAAGUGGUACGGACAAAUGAAGCUAAAAACAUGUCAACUGCUGAAAACUGUAGAGUGUAAAGAACUUUCUG